rnacentral:rRNA from 1 species
CCUACGGGAGGCAACAGUGAGGAAUAUUGGUCAAUGGACGAGAGUCUGAACCAGCCAAGUAGCGUGAAGGAUGACUGCCCUAUGGGUUGUAAACUUCUUUUAUAUGGGAAUAAAACGUUCCACGUGUGGGAUUUUGUAUGUACCAUAUGAAUAAGGAUCGGCUAACUCCGUGCCAGCAGCCGCGGUAAUACGGAGGAUCCGAGCGUUAUCCGGAUUUAUUGGGUUUAAAGGGAGCGUAGGUGGAUUGUUAAGUCAGUUGUGAAAGUUUGCGGCUCAACCGUAAAAUUGCAGUUGAAACUGGCAGUCUUGAGUACAGUAGAGGUAGGCGGAAUUCGUGGUGUAGCGGUGAAAUGCUUAGAUAUCACGAAGAACUCCGAUUGCGAAGGCAGUUCACUGGACUGCAACUGACACUGAGGCUCGAAAGUGUGGGUAUCAAACAGGAUUAGAUACCCCUGUAGUC